GGUAGAUGGUAGUAGAGGUAGAUGGUAGUAGAGGUAGAUGGUAGUAGAGUAGAGGUAGAUGGUAGUAGAGUAGAGGUAGAUGGUAGUAGAGGGUAGAUGGUAGUAGAGUAGAGGUAGAUGGUAGUAGAGGGUAGAUGGUAGUAGAGGGUAGAUGGUAGUAGAGGGUAGAUGGUAGUAGAGGGUAGAUGGUAGUAGAGGGUAGAUGGUAGUAGAGGGUAGAUGGUAGUAGAGUAGAGGGUAGAUGGUAGUAGAGGGUAGAUGGUAGUAGAGGUAGAUGGUAGUAGAGGGUAGAUGGUAGUAGAGGGUAGAUGGUAGUAGAUGGUAGUAGAGGUAGAUGGUAGUAGAGGUAGAUGGUAGUAGAGGGUAGAUGGUAGUAGAGGGUAGAUGGUAGUAGAGGUAGAUGGUAGUAGAGGGUAGAUGGUAGUAGAGGGUAGAUGGUAGUAGAGGGUAGAUGGUAGUAGAGGGUAGAUGGUAGUAGAGGUAGAUGGUAGUAGAGGGUAGAUGGUAGUAGAGGUAGAUGGUAGUAGAGGGUAGAUGGUAGUAGAGGUAGAUGGUAGUAGAGGUAGAUGGUAGUAGAGGGUAGAUGGUAG
ensembl:lncRNA